UACCGAGGUCUCAAGCGUUGUUCGGAUUCAUUGGGCGUAAAGGGUGCGUAGGUGGCGCCGUAAGUCGGAUGUGAAAUUUCGGAGCUUAACUCCGAAACUGCAUUCGAUACUGCGGUGCUUGAGGACUGGAGAGGAGACUGGAAUUCAUGGUGUAGCAGUGAAAUGCGUAGAGAUCAUGGGGAAGACCAGUGGCGAAGGCGGGUCUCUGGACAGUUCCUGACACUGAGGCACGAAGGCCAGGGGAGCAAACGGG
rnacentral:rRNA from 1 species